rnacentral:rRNA from 1 species
UACGUAGGGUGCAAGCGUUGUCCGGAAUUAUUGGGCGUAAAGAGCUCGUAGGCGGUCUGUCGCGUCUGCUGUGAAAAUCCAGGGCUCAACCCUGGACCUGCAGUGGGUACGGGCAGACUAGAGUGCGGUAGGGGAGAUCGGAAUUCCUGGUGUAGCGGUGAAAUGCGCAGAUAUCAGGAGGAACACCGGUGGCGAAGGCGGGUCUCUGGGCAGUAACUGACGCUGAGGUGCGAAAGCGUGGGGAGCAAACAGG